AGUUUGAUUACAAUUUUAGGAACAUCUAGUGUAUUUUUAUGAAUGAAUACAUUUGAAUUUUUUAUUUUAGUACUUAAAUGUUCAAUUAUGAUAUAAAUAGCGGGAAUUUACUGAUGAGUUUGCCGUGUAUGGUGACUACCCCUAAAUUAUCGUGUCGAUUCGUCCGUCGCCGCAUAAACGCUUUGAACUUUUAGCGGGUGCCAAGUAAUUAGUGCCUGUAUGAGAUGAAAGCGGUUUGGAGACCCAAUCAUACAGCAGUUAAUUUUCAACAAAUUUUCAAAAUAUCUGCUUGUUUUAUAUACUAGUAGACAUUUAGUGAAGUUUAUUCUCGUGCAUGAUGUCCUUUAUGCAGUAGAUCUAUGUGGCGGGCAGUUUGUUGCGUGUUUAUAAUGCUGCAAAAUUAAAUAUAAGACGAGAUGAUAGACACACUGACCAUGGUGUUUGCAGAAGCGGUUGGUCCAUCUCAGCCGUGGUGGAGUAUUCGUCGCAGAAGCUGUGGAUAAAAUAUGGCCGUUUGCUGUUGUCAAUCUACCUAUCAUUUUUACCAGUCGGGCAUAAGCAUGAAGAUAAGAUACCUCCUUAAACAAAAAACUUCACUGUAUGGAUUGUGAGACAAGGCCAGAUCUUUAAAAGUUAUUGAAGGAUGCACAAAUGAUAGAUGCAAUGGCCAACUAAAAAGAAUGGAUGAACAAAAUUUAUCAUUUGAGGCUUCUCUACCGGACAUUUUGCUUGGGUUAGGGCUUUGGGCCUUAUAUUUAGCGUAUGUAGCGAAGACCUACAAAAAUAAUAGUAAUACAAAAACAAAUCUGCAACAGAAUCACACAAAUGUUGUUAAAACUAUUUAAUAGAGAAAAUAGUUCUUUUUAAGAAAAUGUGUACAUUUUAUACAAAGAAAGAACUAAUGGAAGGACUAAAAAAUGAACAUGCCACAUGCAUAUCUCCCAGGUGUUUUGCUUGGGUUAGGGCUUAAAUUAAUCUUACAUUGCUGUAAAAAAGACCUACCAAACUAUUGCAAUAACAAAUCUGGACUCAGACAAAUAGUGUUUAAAUGAUUGGCUGGAGAAAAUGGUGCUUUUUACAAAAAAUUAUACAUUAUAAACAUGUACAGAGCUCAACAAGUAAACCUGACUUAGCACUACAAAUUUGUAAAAAGUUAUUUGAAUAUUGUUUUCACAAAGGCAGACUUGGGAAAAAGUAAGCGACACCUGCCCUGAUUUAAAGCGGAUUCUCUUUUUGGUAGAUUUUAGAUUGUUGAUAUUUCAAGAAUAGAAAAACGGAAACAAACAGUGAGUUAUUUAUUAUCUGGAAAUGAAGAUGCAGUGGUAUUUUGGAGAAAAAAAAAAUCAAAUGAAUUAUAUGUUGUUAAUUAAAGAGAGAAAAAACUGCUUGAUAAGAUCUUGCAAGGUUGUUCAGAAUUUGUUAUACUUCAUGUGCAAUAAGUUAAAUUUCUGCCAGCAGAACAGAAUCAUUUAUGAUUAUACAUGUAUAUUUUAACAAGUAAAUCAAGAGAAGGAGAGAACACAUGUCAAACAUCUGGAUGGUUUGUAACUGGUACGUUUAUUCAAGGAUUUACCGGUUUCGGUCUUUCAAGACCUUCAUGAGGAUAAUUUCAAUAAUAAAUGAUUAUACUGAAGUACUAAAAAAGAGGAAACAGAAUGUGCCAUAUGUUACUAUAACUAGACAUAUAAAAGAGUUUUCUUGGCAAAAUGCCAAGUUAUUGUCCAUAUAAAAUGUUUCAAAUGUUGGUUAACCACAGAUCAUAUCUAUCAUCAAUGACCAAUUUUACGGCAUGGUUAAAGUGUUCAUAUUCACCUAAAAUGAUUGUGUCGCAAAAAUGUAGUUGAGACUAAGCUUCGCAGUCUUAAAAAGGGACUCCACUGAGGUUUAAAAGCCUAAAAACAUAACAUUUGAAUUUCUUACAUAAUUGAGCUGGGACACUUUAAACAGAAAUAUAUGCAAAGAUAGUUAAGAAAUAUACUUUGAAAUAAAUAGAAAAUCGUAUUAUUAGGCUUUCCUUAGCCCGAAUUGAGUGAAAAGGGUUUAAAACGCUUUUCAUUUUUGGUCAUUUUUUACAAUUUGAAUACAUUUGUUUUGUUAUUAUUCUGGAAAAACUAAGUGCGCGAAUGAUCGGAAAUUUUGCACAAAGAUUAGUGGUCUAAACCUACAUCAAAUGGUACAUUUUACUGGAAAAAUUAUUUCCAGUCCAAUCAUGUCAAAAAACCUCAGUGGAGUGACCCUUUAAGUUGAUUGUAGUUACUUAAGAGAAAAUAAGUUGGAUUCUGUAUUAAUU